AUGGAGGCUGCGGCUCUGGCCCGGCUGCCGGAAUAUGCCUCCACCACCGCGCCUUUCAGCGGCAAAAGAUGGUCGUUGCCCCGUGCCCAGAGGCGAUCGCCCAGGGCGACAGCACCGGCGGCCUCGCCGCCCGGAGUCGCGAGCUUCUUCUCCAGCUCACCUCUCACUACGAGACCACCGAGAAUUCAACGCCGAGGCCCCGGGACAAAGUGUGCGGGGCGCAGGAGGCGGGCGGACAUCCAGUCGGACACUUACGUGCUGCUGGAGCCCGGGAUGGACGAGGAGUUCGUGUCCAAGGAGGAGCUGGAGGAGAGGCUGCGUGGGUGGCUGGAGAGGUGGCCGGGGGGCGCGCUGCCGCCGGACCUCGCCAGGUUCGACACGGUGGACGACGCCGUCUCGUACCUCGUCCGGUCGGUGUGCGAGCUCGAGGUCGACGGCGAGGUGGGCUCCGUGCAGUGGUACCAGGUCCAGAUCGAAUGA
rnacentral:rRNA from 1 species